GCGAAGGUGGCGGAAUUGGUAGACGCGCUAGCUUCAGGUGUUAGUGUCCUUUUGGACGUGGGGGUUCAAGUCCCCCCCCUCGCACCA
rnacentral:tRNA from 9 species